rnacentral:rRNA from 1 species
UGGAUGAGUGGCGAACGGGUGAGUAACACGUGAGUAACCUCGUCCCCCUUCCUUUGUAGAUACGCCCGGAAACGGGUGCUAAUACUGGAUAUUCACUUGCCUUCGCAUGGGGGUUGGUGGAAAGGGUUUUUUCUGGUGGGGGAUGGGCUCGCGGCCUAUCAGCUUGUUGGUGGGGUGAUGGCCUACCAAGGCUUUGACGGGUAGCCGGCCUGAGAGGGUGACCGGUCACAUUGGGACUGAGAUACGGCCCAG